GCGCUCACGCAACCGCCACUGUCUGGAGCGGGCUCGCCUCUGCGGCGGCACUCACCGCCCGGGCUUUACUGAAGCGGAGUCUAGCAUGUGCGGCUGCUCCACAGCGGUGUGGGUGGCGGCGGCUCCUCUGCAGCAGCCUCGGCAGUAGGGGUCAGGGUGGCCAAGCCCACCGUGGAGCUCAUCUGAGAGUUGUAAGGUACGGGACUGCCUCGGUCUUUGGGACGCCCCGUCUGGUAGCAUCCCAGAUCCAGCACGUUCCUUCCGGCCCUGCACCCCGGCCCGGUGCCUCACACCCCGCUACCCCAUGCAUCCAGACUCUAAGGCAGCCCCUGCAUCUCAGUCCUGACAUCGCUGUCCCUGGAGCAUCCUCCGCUGGAGCUGGAGCUUGACAGGAUCGGCUUCGCCAUCGCCCGGCGUUUGGCCCAGGACAGGGCCCACGUGGUCGUCAGCAGCCGGAAGCAGCAGAAUGUGGACCAGGCGGUGGCCACGCUGCAGGGGGAGGGGCUGAGCGUGACGGGCACUGUGUGCCAUGUGGGGAAGGCGGAGGACCGGGAGCGGCUGGUGGCCAUGGUGAGCUGCAGGGAAAUGGGCACAGAGCCAGGAGGUGGAAAAGGAAGCCAGCCUGAGCCUCCUUCCCUGCUUUCCUAGACAGCAGCACAUUUUUACUGUGUGCCUUUCUAUUAUGUCCAUAUACUAACGUCAGAGAAUCAUCCCAUCUCAGUCAGAGAAUUUUAAAACAUUCUAAUGCUUCAACCCUGCAUCAUCCCUUGAGUACCCCAAAGAAACAGCUGGUACUGGUUCUGCAAAAAAAAAAAAAAAA
rnacentral:sRNA from 1 species